rnacentral:lncRNA from 10 species
GCUUGAGCUUUAAUUGUUUUUCAAAAUGUCCCAGGUGAUUUUAAUGAGCAGCCAGGCUUGCCUGCUCUGACUUUUAGGAUUAAUUCCAGACUCCUGAGUGUGGUUUAAAAGGCCCUUCGUAACCUGGCUUGCCCCUCUGGUCUCGUCCUCCCAACCCACGCUCAUUUCCUCUGCUCCGAGAUACAGAACGCACCAGGCGACACUGUCUUUAAGCUUGGAAUGUUCCUCCUUUCCAUCUGCCUGGCAAAUGUUGAGUCAUCCUUUAAGUCUAGGCUGAAGGAUGUUCUUCCCUAAGAAGCAUUCCAGAUUCUUGCUUACAUAUCACAUUUAAAGGGAUUUUCCUCAUGGAGCAUCUGUGGCUAUUUCUCGGCUGAGCUCAUCCUUUUGGAUUUGAUGAAGGCCAUGCCGUGUGUCCGCAUGUCAGGGUCCUUGAUGCCAUGCAUCAGCUGGACGUGCUUCUCCAGCAUCAAACGUUUGGUAAAGGCAAAUCGGAGUGGCUGAGUCUGGCCGGCAGCACCUAAGAUGAGCUGGCACCUGGUCUCUGCCUCAUGAAUCACAGGACCUGGUGAAAGCCACUCAACCCACGUGAAUGUCCACUCCCACCCCUGUGAGGUGGGCUUGCAACAGUGCCUGCCUCCCAGGACGCUUCGAGAACACGGGGAUGAUUAACAAAGGGGGCAGGCAGCAUGGGACACAUCGCUCAGGAAAUGCUCUUGUAAUAGUCAAGUUAUGCAGCCAACUUCCAUUCAAAAAGCAUAGAAAAAUACUGUCUGUCUUUUAAAUAAACCAAAUCAGUCUGGUAGAUAUUCAAAAGGGUCUUGAAUCCAAACAAGGGCAAAGGAGAAAAUUUCUUCUCCAAGUUAAAAGUUAUACCAAUGCUGUUCAUCUCUGGGGGAAACAACGAAAGAGAGAACAAAGCAAAUAACAAGCUGGCACCCCCCAAAAAUAUUCUCUCAUAAAGAUUUGAUUACACAAAAUAGGCCAGCAGCAAUCCCUAACCUCUUGGAUUAGCAUUUAUGCAGCAAAAGAGUGACUAAGAGGUAACGAGCCUUUAUUUAUUUUAAAGCUUUAAAGUCAUGAACAACAGGUCUGUAUUUCAAUAAAGAUAUUUAAAAAUCUAGUAUCUAAUGCUUUUUAUAUUUUCUACAUAUAAAAAUCAACUGAGGCUGGGCGCAGUGGCUCACGCCUGUAAUCCCAGCACUUUGGAUCACCUGAGGUCAGGAGUUCAAGACCAGCCUGGCCAACAUGGUGAAACCCCGUCUCUACUAAAAAUACAAAAAUUAGCUGGGCAUGAUGGCAGGUGCCUAUAAUCCCAGCUACUCAGAAGGCUGGGGCAGAAGAAUUGCAGUGGUUGCAGUGAGCCGAGAAGAUCAUGAUACUGCACUCCAGCCUGUGAGACAGAGCAAGGCUCCAUCUCAAAAGAAAAAAAAAAUCAACUGAAAGUCAUCUUUCUAAAAGCAAGACUGCUUCACCAAAUCCUAACAGAUUAUAAAGAAAAAUGUAUCUUUCUAACAAUACAAUAGGACAAGAGACCCCACAGAAAGGAAAAUUCGAUUUCCUAUUAAGGUGACGGGUUUAAUAUUCUAUUUCUUCUUGUGUAGUAAUAUUAACAUCAAAACAAAAUUUUAAUACAGAAAUGCCAGUAAGAAAACCCUAAAAAAUGAAGAGCAGCUUAGCAAAUCAGUAACUAUUUUCAAAAGAUCAAUCAAUGUGAGAGAGACAUCCUUCUGUUUCAGCAUCUUUAUGAAAAAUGCAGAAAUGAACUCUGCAAUUCAAAAAUAAGCAGGGUUUCCAAUUCACUGGUGACAAGAAAAUGAGGUUUAAAACACCAGUUUCCAGAUCAAACCUGCCUGGUCACAUUACCUAACAGACAACUUUCUUCCUCUGUUAGAUUUUAAAUACAAACUUAUUCGAAGGUACUUUGCCAAAUUUAUUUUCGUAACUUCUGUUCCUCAAUAUUACUAGCUCCUUCUGCUUUUAUGAGUUUAAAAAAUGGGAAAACAGCAUUUCAGUGUAAAGCCCACCGUCAUCAUUCUAAGACUUUAGGCCGUUUGCUUCCUCCUGGCUUUACUAUAAGCUGAGAUUGAGAGCUUUGGGUGGACUUUUUAAUAGUUAACUAAGAUCAGAAAAGGAACAUGUCUUCCUACUCAGUUCUGAGUUACUUUGUUUUUAAAUAGAACUCUUUAAAGAAAUAGUGAACUAAUAAGCUGGCAGGGUUUCCAAAGUUUUUAACAUAAAACUUUUUGAGAGUAAAAUAUCAAAAUAAACACUUGGGUACACUUCCUAAACUUUCUUCCUCCCGUCUCAUUUUUGACUUUCAUCUUCACAGCUUCAGGAAAGAAAGCAUUAAUCCCGCCUCCUUUUCUCCAGUGACUAUGCUAGGCGUGCGCUACCCCAUGCUGCUGCUGUGCUUGGGAUGGUACGGCCUUGGCAGGCCAUUCUUCCCGGAGAGCACUUGGUGGACGUGUCUCGGUUUGCCACGGGGCUUCCCUCACAAUCAGAAACUUCCCAUUCUAAUAACUUGUCCUUUCUGUUUCUGUGCUUACGGGUCUCUGUUUCAGGUGACUUUGGGGAAGUUAGAGGGAGAAAAGUCAUAACUUCAUACCCAGAUCUGGCAAGGCAUCCACAUCUCACCUUGUCCUGGGAGUCCUACCUCCACGAGGUAUCUGCCUUGCACCAACAUGCAAGAGCCUCCUUAACGACCACCAUGCAGCCAGAAACUCCCACAAACUUAAAGACUGCAGGCUACAGGAUUAUCCUCAACCGUUGCUGACACAUGCCCUUCAGCUCACACCUUUUUAUGAAAAAGGAAAAACCAAGCCAAUCACAUGAUUUAAAUAUAGCACAGCAGCAGUCCCUCCAAAAUUCACUCCUAAAGCUCUGACCCCUUCCACUGGGCAAUCUAUUCUAUGAAGAGACCUGCAUACUUACUACAGCCCGUUUCUGCUGUAAUGCAACAUCGGUGCUCCUAAAAAUCACUGCACUAUGCAAAACUUCAACAAAACAACAGGGCCUCUAGCAAAAAUGGAGUCACGGAGACAACACUCAAGACUUUGUCAGUGACACAUCGAAUGAAAAUAUUUAGUUUUAACUACGUCAAAUGGUUAAGAAAUGCAAAAAACACUGCACUUUACCUUGAAAAAGACCUGCAGUGAGCUUGUGGAGGUCAGAGGGUUGCAGCUUGUGAGUUACUGUGAAGUGGGGGAAGGAGGGCAAUCUUAGUGGAAGGGAAGCUUGCAACACCAGCUGUGGAUGGAUGUGACCCACAGUUGAGAGGGAGGCCCUGGUGAAAUCGGAGGUUUGUUGUGUGUAUGUGUUUUGUGUUUUCCUACACAACUCCACAGCAUUCUGUAGUCACUUGGUAUUUCUCAGGGAUGAAAUCACACAUAAGCAAACAUGAAAUUCAGGUUAAGCUCCCAUUGUUCUGAUAAAUCUUGGUACUGGGAUAAAUUUGUUUCAGCAUAAGUGUUAUAGCAGAAGUCACUGUGUUCAAGUUUAUUCACUGCACCAUUGUGUACGGUGGGUCCAUCAAAGGAGAACUGGCUAAAUACAUGCAUGCACUCAUACCACAAGAUGCCGUGCCGCUACAGAAAUGGAGGGAAGAUCUCAAUGCACUGAUACGAAAAGAACCAUAACUACUAAGCGGAGAAAGUACUGGUACACAAAAUUAUAGAUGGAAGCUGUGUUCUGUAUUAGAAGAAUGAGAAUAUAUGCAUAUAUGCUAAUACUUGCAUAAGGAGACUUCAAGAUAAGAAACUUAGGAGUUAAGACUUCACUAUAUUCCUUCAUAUUGUUUAAAUUUUUAAACUAUGUAAAUAUAGCACAUAUCCAAAAAAAAUUUUACCGCAAAAAAAACUGAGCUUAUUGAGAUAUAGUUUAUAAAAUCACUUUUUUAAAAGUAGAGUUCUAUGAAUAAGUGCCACCACAGUCAAGACAUAGAACAGUUGUGUCAUCCCCCAAAAUUCCCACGUGCCCUUUAUAAUCAACCCCACCCCCUCGACCCCGCUCUUAGCAGCCAGGGAUUUGCUUUCUAUCUCUGGUUUUGCUUUCUCCAUUUGUCAUAUAAAUGGAGCCAUACAGUACACGUGAAGCUUUGAGUCUCGCUUCUUUCACUCAGCAUAAUACACAUAUAAUUCCUCCACGCUGUUGGGUCUAUUGGUAUUUGUUCCUUUUCUCUGCUGACUAGUGUUCCAGUGUGGAUGUGCCCAAGUGUGUUUAUUCACUUGCCAAGUGAAAGCCAUUUAGGGAUUUUCUAGUUUUUGAUAUUAUGAAUAAAGCCACUAUAAACAUUUACUAUAAUCAUUCAUCUGUGCAUAUGAUUUCUCUUGGGUAAAUACCCAGGAGCGGGAUUACUAAGUCAUAUGUUAAAUAAGAAACUGUCUAACUGUUUUCCAGAGCGGCUGUCCCCUGCAUACCCACCAGCAAUGGAGAGAAACUGCCACCGUUCCGCCAUCUUUUAACAUUUGGCAUUGCCACUUCAUUUAGUUCAGUCAUUCUACAGGGUGGCCAGUAGUAUUUUGUUGUGGUUUUAAUUUGCAUUUCUCUAAUGACUUAUUAAGGUAACAAAAAAAUCUUUCUGGCCAGGCACAGUGGCUCACGCCUGUAAUCCCAGCACUUUGGAAGCCAAGGCGGGCGCACCACUUGAGGCCAGGAGUUCAAGUCCAGCCUGGCCAACAUGGCAAAAUCCUGUCUCUACUAAAAAUACAAAUAUUAGCUGGGCAUGGUGGUGCAUGCCUGUAAUCCCAGCUACUCAGGAGGCUGAGGCACAAGAAUCACUUGAACUCGGUAAGCAGCAGUUGCAGUGAGCAGAGAUAGUGCCACUGCAUUCCAGCCUGGGCGACAGAGUGAGUGAAAACUCUGUCUCAAAAAACAGAUAUAUAUUUCAAUUAGUAGGUAAAACACCAACUUACAGUAAGCCUCUUUCUUCAAAGAAAAAGCGUACAAUCAAAGUUUUGUUGUUUUUUAAUUAUUAAAGGGAUGUUUGGGGGGCAUUUUCCCUCCCCCAUAAGCUCCUUGAGAACAGAAGCUGUCAAUUGUUCAUCUCUGCAUCAGAAAACAGUAAAUACUGUGGGAAUGAAUAAAUAAAGAUUAACUGAACAAAACUGUCUACUUGGAAAACAUCGGCAGGUUCUACGAAGUAAUCAUGGAGUAACAAAUUUAGGAUAAAGUGCUGGACACAGAGGAACUCUGCUUAUUUCCUGCAGGAUGGCCAAGACAUGACGGUGUUUAAAUACGGAUAAGAAAGAGCCUGUAAUAAAUGAAGAGACUGAGGAUAGAGGCGAGCGAUGAAUGAAUGAGCAGGGAGACAGGGAUUCAGACACAGGAAGAACAGCUCUUCCUGUGUGGCCAGAGCCAAGGCGUCAUCCGGGGACAGGUGUGAUGCUUAUUAAAGUCAGGGGUGGGUGGGUGACGAAGGGGCCCAGAUAUUGAGGGAAUUCCUGCUCAGCAGCUUCCAUUUUCAAAAUGAAGCACGUAUGGUACAUUUUAGACUUCAGACUCAAAUAACUGUGGCCUUCAUUUUCUUAUUUCUUUAUCAAAGUAACAAAUGCUUAUUGCACAAUGUAAAAGAGAAAAGAUUGCUUCCAAUCUCACCCAUCAAAAUAACCACUGUCAAUUUCUAAUGACACAGCCUUCCCACUUUUCUGAAUAUACACACUGAUGUGUAUUUAUAUUUCUAAAACCGAUCUAUAUUAUACAUAUUGGCUUUCAAACUAAUUCUUUUUCACUUGUAAAACACACAUAUCUACACACACUGACAGUUGUUUUCUUGUUUGUAUUUUUGAGACAGAGUCUCUGUCGCCCAGGCUGGAGUGCAGUAGUGCAAUCUCAGCUCACCAUAGCCUCUGCCCUGGGAUUCAAGUGAUUCUCGUACCUCAGCCUCCCAAGUAGCUGGGACUGCAGGUGUGUACCACCACACCUGGAUAAUUUGUGUGUUUUUAAUAGAGAUAGGGUUUCACCAUGUUGCCCAGGCAGGUCUCAAACUUCUUACCUCAGGUGAUCUACCCGCCUCAGCCUCCCAAAGUGCUGGAAUUACAGGCGUGAGCCACCAUGCCCAGCUAGUUCUGCAUUCUUAACAAGUGUAUUGUAUUCUGUUGCACAAAUGAACCAUGAAUUGUUUAUCUUCUAUUAAAGAUUCAGGUUGUCUCAACUUCUUAGUAACUACAGACACAAAUUUCCAUAAUCAAUUAUUUCCUUUGUAUAAACUAUUGAAGGCAGUCUUUCCAAUAUAAAGGUUGUGAAAAAUAAGCCUCUUUAAAUGCCAAACUGCCCUAAAAAAGAUUCAUUCUACCACCACUAGCACGUUCACCAAGGGAGUUUCCCACACCAGCUCUAGUCUUCAACUCUACCAAAGUGAUAGGUAAAACAGUCGACCAACUUUUUCUCUAAAUGGCCAGACAGUAUGUUAGGCCAGAAACCAUAAGGUUUCUGUUGCAACUACUCAACUCUGCCCUUGUACCUUAAAACCAAGAAUAGACGAUAAUAAUUAAAUGAAUGGGCGUGGCUGUGUUCUCAUAAAUUAUUUACAAAAACAGGUGGCAGGCCCAUGAAACGCAGUUUGCUGAUCCCUGAUUGAGACCACUGUUUCACAUUCAAUAGAAAAUAGAGACAAGUCUCAAUCAUUCAGAACCAAAUUUAUGUAAAUUUAUGUAGAUAAUCUAAAGCCAGUCAUAACUAUAAAGUGAAAAGAAUGCUUUUUUUUCAUAUGCCAUGCUCUAAACAGGUUCUGAGAACCAGCACUAUCACUGUCACGUGCCUAGAUUACCGAGGUGACAACUUUGAAAUAAAGAGGGUUAAACCAACGUGUGCUUACCACUAUGCUUAUUUAAAACAACAAAAACAAAACCAAGUCUCCGAAGUUUCUGGUUAUAAGACUGUCUGGUCUGCUGAUGACACUGUACAACUGAAAAAGUAAUGACGCAGAACAGUAACAAAUGCACAAGAACAGAAGGCCAAAUCCGGAGCAGAUGGCAAAGAAACGUGUCGCACCGUAGUUUCUGAGCUUAGGGCAAUGUCAGACACUUGGGCAGAGAAAAAAAGAAAGGGCUGAAGGAAGGCUACCUAACUUUCUAACAAGCUGCCAGCAUCAUGCCAAUGAAACCCAGAAAUGCCUGCCAGGGCACGGUGGGGCUACCAGGGGUACAUGCCUGCCAGGGGCCUCUGUGUCCACCUCCACUGGCCAGUGGGGAUGUGCAGCAGAGGUUUGGGACUCUCACUGCAGACCCUAAACAAACCUCACAUCUCUUCUCUGUCAGGGGACUCUUGGGUCAAUACCCUCGUGCCAUCCACUGGGUACAUCUUUAUUAAUCCUCAUUAGAAAGCCGACAAAAUAAAUCCUGACUAAUCUUUACUGCCUCUCCUUCACAAUGACUGACGCCCUGGAAAGAGGGCUGACAGGUGCCUUGAGGCAUCCAUUGCCAUGAUCAUAAACUCUGAAACAUUCACCAGAGACCACCUGACUAUGAAAAAAAUCUUUGCUGCCCUAUUUGUCUAGAUCUGGCUCAACUUCAUUCCCCUUCUACUUGCAGGCAUCUGUCCUACCUUUGAAGCCUCCCUGGUUCCCAAGAUGUCCAUCUACAGAUGGGUGACAUGUUAUUUCUCUUAUUAUUCCUGUUCUCAGAGAAUCCAGUCUUCAAAAAGGGACCACUGGCAGGAAUACACAGAAUAUUUUCUCCUAGUACAGUAGUUAUAGAAUCUUUUGGCCCUUUUUAAUCAUAAAGCAAUUGAAACAGAAAAAGGUCACUGUGAAAGAUUUUUUUCCCCGUAUAAUAGCUAGUAUUUUAUAAAAGGACAAAUAUGGUUGGG